rnacentral:rRNA from 1 species
UAUCCUACGGGGGGCAGCAGUGGGGAAUAUUGCACAAUGGGGGAAACCCUGAUGCAGCGACGCCGCGUGAGUGAAGAAGUAUCUCGGUACGUAAAGCUCUAUCAGCAGGGAAGAAAAUGACGGUACCUGACUAAGAAGCCCCGGCUAACUACGUGCCAGCAGCCGCGGUAAUACGUAGGGGGCAAGCGUUAUCCGGAUUUACUGGGUGUAAAGGGUGCGUAGGCGGCCUGCUAAGUCUGGAGUGAAAGGUACCGGCUCAACCGGUACAGGCUCUGGAAACUGGCGGGCUAGAGGGCAGGAGAGGG